GCAUGCUAGCGAUCUGAUCAACCAUAAUUUAUUUUCUCAAGUAACAUUUUUAGCAUACCGGGAGAGAUCUAAUGGGAUAUAAUGUCAAGGAAGAGCUUUCAGGCAAUAUGCCAGAAGGAAAUUUUCGGAAGGAAUGAUUACAUGGAGCCAUCCGCCCUUUCAGUUAAUGAACCUGAAGAUCCGUCAAUAAUUGUUGUGCUUCGAUUCUUCUACUUGAAAGCACGGGGUGU
rnacentral:lncRNA from 1 species